rnacentral:lncRNA from 1 species
AGAUGAGACAAUUUCUUUCGGCCUCACAGACCACUUUUGGUUUUAUUUUUCUCUUUCAGGGCCUUUGGAUUAAGAAGCUGCUGUUAUGCUUCAGUUUUUCAGAAUGCAUGGUACUUCACAUCCUCCACAUUCAUGUGAGAAGAGUUAUCAAAACUGUCUUGAAUUAAUUAAAAUAGAUGUGCCUCAUGAUCUCUGGCAGCUCAGAUGGGAGUGGGAAGCACAAUCAGGUACAGGAAAUCUGCUGUGGACUGGCCUCUACACAGCAGAAAAGGCCAAAACCAGAGCUUGACCAUGGAUGAAGAAAGCUGCCCAAAACAGGAGUGCAGCCUGAAGAGCCAGGAGUACUCAGGUAGGCCCUUGUUCCUGAGCACAGGAGCAAA